rnacentral:tRNA from 1 species
GGUGGUGAUCAAGUGGUUUAGGGUGCUUGAUUUUCACCUCAGGUGUCCGAGGUUUGAAUCCUCGCCAUCACCA